UGCGGGCAAGAACGUUUGAGACCUAGAGCCUCUUUCACACACACCCACCUUCUCAGUCAGGGAGGCUUGUGGCUGAGAAGGCCCCAGGGUGUGGCUGGAGGCGAGAACUUCUACAAUAAAGGGGUCUCUGUCCUCCUCCGGAAUCCGCCCCACCUCUCCACACCCACCCAGCCCUGUGGCCGGAACAGGGCUCCACGCUGGGGAGACCCAGACCCGAAGCCCCCGCAGACUAUUUGCUUCUCUCCCAGGAAGGUCCAGUGCCCCACUGCUACCCCAGGACCUUCAGCCUGGUCCUGGAUAUCCACUCGAGUUCAGCCAGCUCCCAGAGAAUAUUUGAGUUCAGCUUGUUCCUGGAGCCAGGAGGCGUGUCUCCAGGCCAGCCCCUCCUCCCUGGGUUCUCCUUGGUCCAGGUGAACCUCCAUGCCUAGAGGACAGGGGCAGACUGAGGACUCUCCAGCGCUAGCCCAAGGUCAGACGGGACAAUGGAUGAAAAGUAACUGAGGCACAGAGACUGGCAGGCGCUGCCCGAGGCCACCCAGUCCAGGUCACCAGCUCCAUGUUCCAUGGUUUAGGCUCCGGGUGAGGCUGGACGGGGACUGUGGCUAAACACUCUCAUUUGAUGCUACCAUGUAAAAUGUGGAACAUGAGGUCACUCACCUGCUGCAGGGCCACAUCUUCCAGAAGAUUCAUAGGAACUGCAGGAGGCCCUGGGAGGUCCUCAGGGGCUUCCCCCCAGGGCGGAGCCCGCAACCUUCUUCCCCAGGGCCCUCAGAGAAGGAGCUGGGUUACGUGGCUCAGAGGUACUUGGAGCAGAGCACUGAGGCAGGCAGGAAGUCCGCUUUGGUAUUCUGUGUACUUUAUCUUUAAAAGACAUUCAAAUUUUGAAUUUUACUCCGUAAGAUCUCCUAUUUUGCUUUAAUAUAAAAAGCAAUGCUUGGGGCGCCUGGGUGGCUCAGUCAGUGAAGCAUCCGACUCUUGAUCUCAGCUCAGGUCUAGCUAGUGUGUGAGCUGGGUGUAAAGCCUACUUAAACAAACAAACAAACAAACAAACAGACAAACAGAGGUGCCUGGAUGGCUCAAUUGGUUAAGUGCCCGACUUCCCCUCAGGUCAUGAUCUCUCAGUUCGUGAGUUCGAGCCCCACAUCAGGCUCUGCGCUGACAGCUCAGAGCCUGGAGCCUGCUUCGGAUUCUGUCUCCCUCUCUCCCUGCCCCUCCCCUGCUCUCACUCUGUCUCUCUCAGAAAUAAAUACACAUUUAAAAAAAUUAAAACAGACAAAUGAAAAACAAAACAAGGCGUACGUGGGUGGCUCUGUCGGUUAAGCAUCUUGGUUUUGGCUCAGGUCACGAUCUCACGGGUAGUGGGUUUGAUCCCCACUUCAGGCUCUUCACGGACGGUGUGGAGCCUGCUUGGGAUUCUGUCUCUCU